rnacentral:rRNA from 1 species
UACGUAGGGGCAAGCGUUGUCCGGAAUUACUGGGCGUAAAGCGUGCGCAGGCGGUUUUUGUAAGCCAGAUGUGAAAUCCCCGGGCUUAACCUGGGAAUGGCAUUUGGGACUGCAAGGCUUGAGUGCGGCAGAGGAGACUGGAAUUCCUGGUGUAGCGGUGAAAUGCGCAGAUAUCAGGAGGAACACCGGUGGCGAAGGCGGGUCUCUGGGACGGUACUGGACGCUGAGACGCGAAAGCGUGGGGAGCAACAGG